UACAGAGGUCUCAAGCGUUGUUCGGAUUCAUUGGGCGUAAAGGGUGCGUAGGUGGCGUGGUAAGUCGGGUGUGAAAUUUCGGAGCUUAACUCCGAAACUGCAUUCGAUACUGCUGUGCUUGAGGACUGGAGAGGAGACUGGAAUUUACGGUGUAGCAGUGAAAUGCGUAGAGAUCGUGAAGGAAGACCAGUGGCGAAGGCGGGUCUCUGGACAGUUCCUGACACUGACGGCACGAAGGCCAGGGAGCAAACGGG
rnacentral:rRNA from 1 species